GACGAACGCUGGCGGCGUGCUUAACACAUGCAAGUCGAACGGAAAGGCCCUGCUUUUGUGGGGUGCUCGAGUGGCGAACGGGUGAGUAACACGUGAGUAACCUGCCCUUGACUUUGGGAUAACUUCAGGAAACUGGGGCUAAUACCGGAUAGGAGCUCCUGCUGCAUGGUGGGGGUUGGAAAGUUUCGGCGGUUGGGGAUGGACUCGCGGCUUAUCAGCUUGUUGGUGGGGUAGUGGCUUACCAAGGCUUUGACGGGUAGCCGGCCUGAGAGGGUGACCGGCCAAAUUGGGACUGAGAUACGGCCAAGACUCCUACGGGAGGCAGCAGUGGGGAAUAUUGCACAAUGGGCGGAAGCCUGAUGCAGCAACGCCGCGUGCGGGAUGACGGCCUUCGGGUUGUAAACCGCUUUCGCCUGUGACGAAGCGUGAGUGACGGUAAUGGGUAAAGAAGCACCGGCUAACUACGUG
rnacentral:rRNA from 1 species